rnacentral:sRNA from 1 species
AGCUUGUGCAGUGCGUGGCAUUGUAGUAUCCUGGAUUUCUUCUCCCAUCACAGUGCAAGAGAAGUGAGGACUCGGAGCUACUGCCAGCCGCCUCCUCUGCUUCCUGCCCCUUCAUGCAGCACUAUGCUCACUCUUGCAUGUAUGCACGUCCAAGUAUUUGCACACACACACACACACACACAGGUCUGUGUGUACAUGCACACACUCAUAGGCAAAGACUUCUUUUCUUCACGACAGUUUGACAUGGAGUUGCCUCCCUCCAUUUCUGGUGAGGAGCAGGCAGGCGUGCCUUCCACACACAGCUUGCUGCUCACAGUGGCAGCAGAAGCCCGCAGGAGGGAACCUCAUUCCCUAUGUGGCUGCAGAUUCACUGCUGUGGUCCUCUUCAGCCUCUAGUCGCUUGCUGCUAGUGGCCCUGCUAGAGAACCGGGGUUUCAUGCACACUUGCAGUCAGCUGUCCAGGCCUGGAUGUGUGGCAGCCUAUGGAUGUCUAUCUGAACAAGAAUGUACCUGAAACAUGGGAGCCCAGUUAAAAUGAUGGAGAGUUAUAUUGCAGUUCUCACAAAGGGGAUAUGCCAGAGUGAAGAAAACGGCUCUUUCCUUAGUAAGGAUUUUGAUGCCCGAAAGGCCUACCUGGCUGGCUCCAUCAAAGACAUUGUAUCUCAGUUUGGAAUGGAAACUGUUAUCUUACACACAGCACUGAUGCUAAAGAAAAGAAUUGUGGUGUAUCACCCCAAGAUAGAAGCAGUCCAGGAGUUCACCAGGACUCUGCCUGCCCUGGUGUGGCACCGACAGGACUGGACCAUCCUUCACUCUUACGUGCACCUCAACGCCGAUGAGCUGGAAGCCCUGCAGAUGUGCACAGGUUACGUCGCUGGAUUUGUAGACUUGGAGGUGAGCAACAGACCAGACCUCUAUGAUGUGUUUGUGAAUCUGGCAGAGAGUGAGAUUACCAUUGCUCCCCUUGCAAAAGAGGCCAUGGCAAUGGGCAAACUGCACAAAGAAAUGGGUCAGCUAAUUGUUCAGUCUGCAGAAGAUCCAGAGAAAUCAGAGAGCCAGGUUAUACAGGAUAUUGCUCUAAAAACAAGAGAAAUCUUUACCAACCUAGCACCGUUUUCAGAAGUUUCGGCUGAUGGAGAAAAGAGAGUCCUUAAUUUGGAGGCGCUAAAGCAAAAACGAUUUCCACCAGCAACAGAAAACUUCCUUUAUCAUCUAGCAGCAGCCGAACAAAUGCUGAAAAUCUGACUGUGUGACAGAACGUACCACUGAUGACUGAUAGAAAGCCCUCUUUCACUCUGAUUACCCACUCACUACAUGAAGUCCUGAAAAUAACAGAGAAACUGUUAUAUCUUUUUAAUGAUUUAUUUGCAAGUAUUGAGAUUUGACCUGAAAAACAAUGAAACACAUGAACACACUUCCGAUUUUCUCCUCGCUGAUUAGCUUCCUGCCUGCUGUCAGUGCUGGACGAAGUGCUAUAACUACUUUAUGUAACAUUACAGAACAGCUAGAGGUCCUGGGGUAAGAGAAAAAAAGCACAUCACGACAAAUGUGAAAGCCUUCAUUAUUACACGUUCCAGUUUGUCUCGCUGUGUAGGCAUAAGCUAAUGGUUUAUUUUCAGAAAGCUGCCUGAAACAUUGCUUUGUAUUCUUCUAGGAAGAACUUUAAUUCCUCCUGAGGAACUCUACUUUCUGAGCCAAACUGCUAAUUUUCUGCGGAACUGUCUAGAAGAUCAUUCAAGAGACCCUGCAGUUGCACUUUGUCGUAAAAGUUUAAAAAAAAAAAAAAAAAAGGUUUUUCCCAGCCUUUGAACAUUUUGCCUAUGAGAGUUUUGCAUAUAUUUUAUACUUGAGUAGACAACUUUAAUAAUCCAUAUUUAUACUAUCGCAGAAGUAAGCAUUUGGCAAACGUUCAGCCAUUAGCACUCAUUUAACCCUGUUAGCAAUAUUCUUUUGAAAAAAGUGCCAGUCCUUAUGUGAUAAACUAAGAAGCCCAUUGAAUAUAAAAGUGUGUAGGACUGAAACAGUGACCUUAUAUUAUUGCUAAGGGAAUAUGAGAUUAACUUCCUACAGGGGCCAAAACCAGAGAAAGGCUUCCAGCAACUUCGAUGAAAGUAGUUUGGCCACAUGUCAAGCCAAUUGUUUGUAUUAUUUAUGUACCUUUUUCAUAACUGGAAUUGCCAAAUAAGCAUGGAGGUCUAAAUGAUGUACUUGUUAGUGUAUUCAUUCAUAUUGAUUGUAAAGGAUUAUUUUUCACUCAGUACUGAUGUCCUUGGAAAUCUUACCUGGAAACAUGUUUGCAAAAAACAUUAUUGGAUCUUUCAUCUUUUUCUUGGUAUUACAUAUUUGUUAAAUAAAAAUUAAACACCCUCCCUUUUUUUUGAGUGAGGGCAGGGAGGACCUGAAAUAAGACAAUGUUUACUAAGGCAAAUAAUUGAAAAUUAAAUCUGCACUUUAUGGAAAUGAGAAAUAUUAACAUCUUUUUUCUCAUUUUUUUUGUAUUACUAUAUUAGCUAAUGAUCAAAGUUGUUAAAAUUAUAAAUUUAUGAUGCAGAAAUAAAAUUGAAAUAUUUUGAUAUUCAA